ensembl:lincRNA
UGCUUCUCAAGCCUUGAGCCACACCUACUGUACAUAGAGAAAAGGAACACACACCUGGCCUGAAGCAACCAACCAACAAGACCAACAACAUUCACACAUAUUCUCGAUCAGUAUAUCACAGGGGUGAAUCAUGAGGCAACAGUGUGUGAUUUGGGAUUCAGAAAUGAACCGGUGUGCACCAGAUUGCCUACUUCAUGCAGAAGCUGAGAAGUGGAUAGCUCGACUGCUGACAGCUGCACAGAGCCUGUCACUCAGAGCCCUGUCUCAUAUCCAGCCCACAAAUGUCCUGAUAGAUCGGAAAUGGACACGGCAGUCUGGAAGCUCCUAGCUCAGCAGUAUUGGGGAACGUGAGACUGAUUUGCAAUUCAAAAGAACAAAAGCAAUAUAAAAUUUGUGAGGAAUGCAGUGACCUAAUAGAGCCUGGUCACAAAUGUGUUACCAAUGUAGUGAAGAGUAUGUUGGGUCGCAUUUUGAUUGUACUAGUUUGCUGCCCAAUUACUUUUUCUAUCUUCCUCCAAACAGCUCUUAUUCUGAAUUAACAGAAAGGAAAACACCUGCGCUAUGGUAUGCUCAAUGAAUUUAGGUAGCUCAACAUUCCUGUUAAGCUGAGAAGUUCCCUUCUAAGGGAAUCUGUGUAAAAUGCUUAAAUGAACGUGAAGGGACCACCCAUAUCCUGACAUAGGACACACCCAAUGCUACUACAUGACUCCUUCUCUUUCUCCUCUUUAUUCCCUCUUUUUCCCCUGAAACUCAACAGAUCUUACUGUGAUAUUAAUCAGCAAAAGACGAAUGGCUUAGAUGAUUCAGUGUCUCACAGAGAUUCAUCUGGCCAAACUACUACUCCUGAAGCUGCCAGCUGGGACCACUGAUGGAUAGAAAGAGUCACAACCUCUUCUGCCUCCCACUGCUAAAUGUCCUGAAACAAAUUCAUCUACACCAGGAGAAACAUUGUAAGAAAUUAUGAUCCUGUCAUCAAGUUUGAUCUUCACAAAAAGUUGUUUUUUAUAACCCAUUUCUAUUCUUGUUUUUUUACUUUGCUCUAUAGUAGUACCAUCUGCUCCGUAUCUGCCAUUAGCUGUACACUGUGGUGUAACCUGAUUGGUAGGACUACAGGGUUGCUGGAUAGCAUGCUCUUAAUACUAUGUAGUUAUCAUUUUCAGAGUAGAUCAGCCAAUGUGAAAGUUUUUUAAACAUUUUUUGAUGGUCUUCUCACUACAGUGUCAAAAAUGCAUUUCAGUGGAAACCAAUAUAAUUUAGUUAGUCAAUUAUCAAACAAAUAGAUUCCUCUGAACUGCAGCCAUUCUCCUGAUCUCAUCUCAUUCUUCCAGUCGGCCUAGCUAGAGAUUCACUGUGGAGUACGCAAUAUCAAAAUGAUGAAGGGCUCUGACAGGUGAGCUUAUUAAAUAAUGUGAAGAGGUCAUUCUUUGUGAGCAGGUGCAGGAUUCAUUGUUGUAAAGCUAAGAUUUAAAUAUCACCAUUACCAUCUUUUAGCCCCAUGUCACCUGAUCUCAGAAGCUAAGCAGUGCUGGGCCUUGGUCAGCACUGAGGCUGAAGACCUGUAAGAAAACCAGGGUAUCGAUGUAAGUUUUCUCUUCCAUCUGGUUCCCAAGUUCCAAACUAAUAUACCAGCAUACGUACCAUCCUGUGGAUGAUGACACAUUAAACCAAGGUCCUGACUACUUGAUCGUUAAAGAUCCCAGGAACUGUCUGUAAGAGUACUGUAAGUGUUUAACCCUGGUGUGCUGGCUAAAUUCUACUCUUGACUUGUACAACCUAUACACUUUCUUGGGAGGUUUAAACACUACCACUAUAUCAAACUGUAGUAUGAAUACAGUGACUGAGUAGUAAUGACUGUUUACAGCAUGAUUUCACUGACAUUGUCAUUCUACAGAUAUAUUCCGUAUCUGGAUGAUGAGCCAAACCAUGAUGUUACUUUUUAGCACUGUAAAAUAUGUUCCGAAGAUAGUAAUGACUACAAUGGAUUAUGAUUAUGGAAUCCUGGACAGCCUCAAUAAUGUUAAUUGGCAUUGAUCUUACCUGCCAGCAAAUCCCAUAGUCCUUCUCGAUCAUUUGUUUAUUUUAUGCUUUCAUUAGUGGAACAAGCUGUUGUGAUGCAGAACUGAAAAAAAAACUCAGUUAUACUCUUGAACUUUACUGAAGAGGACAAUUUAACUUGUAGUCAAUAUUAUUAUUGCACUGUAUAUGCUAAAUGCUUUCAGGUACUGAAAUCAAGAUUAAUCCUUGAAACCAUUCCAAUAUUCCAGCACCAUGGGACUUGAGCCACAGAAGAUGGCAGAUGGCUCUUAUACAUGUCCUUUUCUAACAAAAGACUGCAGAGUUCUCUUUGCUCCAGUGCUGGUCCAAGAUUAAUGUUGCUCGUUUACUUUCAAAGUGCACCUACUGUGGGUAAAUAGAUUUAAAGAGCUUUUGAGCAGUAAAGCAUGUGCUGAGAUGAUUGAGAACAAUCCAAAUUAAAGGGAUAUAAAAAGAAAAUGAAUGACCCUUUCAUUGGUCUUUUAAGUUUUAAUACAUUUUAAGUUUGCUUUUAUCUUGAUGUGUGAUCGUGUAAGGUAGCUUUGUGAGAGAGCACCUGUUGAUGGAAAACAAACUGUAAAAUGAGGUAUACCUGGUGUGAUGGAGUAAUUAGCAUUCAGAGGGAGUGAAAUUCCACAUGAGGGAAAGGAGCUGUCAGGAUAGGCUCUGAAUGGAAUUAGUCACUAAUCUGGGCUAAUUAAGAGGUUUAUAAGAACAGAUAGGAUGGAAUGCAUUUUAGGAUGUGUCUAGUUCCAGCCUGGAAUAAUGGCGGAUGAGUGGUCAGGAUAUGAAGGGUGGUCUACUUACAGUAACAAUGUAUUGGGCUCGCCUAAAUAGAGUUUAGGCUGUACUGAGAAGUGUGUCAGACGGUCAAUGUGAUAGUUUGAUAAGAUCAAAGAUGUUAAAAUGCACUGCUGAUGAAGAGGCUUGCUUGGCUGAACCAAGGUUGACUAAGGGUUUUAGAACCUGGAUGAUUAGGGCAUUGCUGGAUAAGGUAAAAGCACACAUUCCUGAAGCUAAGAGAAGAAUCUUGGUGGCAAAGCCUGAGUUCUGAGUAGUGCCUGGGCCUUGCCAUAAUCGGAUAAGCAUGCAGUCUGAGUGAGCGGAGGAACUGUUUGCUGUUUUGUCUGUAUCAGGGAUACAAGUGGUUAUUACAGAGAAGUGUCCCUAAGAGAAUGGAUUGCUAAGCCUUCAUUUGGAAUGACUCUGGUAGCUAUUAAGCAACAUGAAGUUAAUUAGGUUGAAUAAUCUGAUGCCUGGUCAUUAAUAAUGAAGAAUGAGUUAGUGAGGAGAUUGGUAAAGAGCAGCCAUGAAGAAAGGAUUAUGCAGACUUCUCCAAGAAAGGAACAAUGUGCAAGUUAGGGUCCUAGGAUGGAAAGACCACUUUUCCAAAUAUGGAAAAACAAAGGUGUUUUGUAUGGUGAUGUCAGUUUGAUGUAUCGUUCUUGUAUCCAAUGCCAUAAUGCAUCCUGUUAGGAGUCAGGGCUAACAAAAUCCACAGUCGGGUGAUAAAUGCCUGCGCAUGUGUAGAUCACGAAGGGACAAGUGGCUAAUGGAAGUGCAGGCUGGGAGACUGGUCCAGCAGGUGGCAGAAGGAUGGAGAAGCUCCUGAGUGUCUCAAACUGCAAUGGAGACUUCAGAGUGUAGGCUGAUUUGUAAAAACAAUCUGGCAAUAGUCACAAUAGUAGGAAAAGACCUGAAAUAACUCGUUUUCUU